UAGAUUUUCUACAAAGUCAAACUUUAUAAACUUUGACCAAGUUUAUAGAGAAAACUAUUUAUAUCUACAAUACCAAAUGUAUAUAAUAUGAAAGUAUGUGUUGUGAUGUAUCUAAGCACACGUAUUUGGUAUUCUAGAUGUAUAUGAUUUUUUCUACAAACUUGGUCAAAGUUUAUAAAGUUUGACUUCUAGAAAAAUCUA
rfam:Triticum aestivum genome assembly, contig: Triticum_aestivum_CS42_TGACv1_scaffold_221971_3B